rnacentral:hammerhead_ribozyme from 1 species
AUCCAGAUGACGAGUCCCAAAUAGGGCGAAGCGCGAGUCAAACUGGAU